rnacentral:misc_RNA from 1 species
GGAGAACCAAUUUCAGUAUUGGGAGGAGUCGCCGGAAAAAAAUGCAGUCAGCAGAGCAGCUUGUGCUUGAACUAAGCAAUCCCGAUCUUAGAGAAAAUGCUCUUCUUGAACUCUCUAAGAAGAGGGAAUUAUUCCAGGAUUUAGCGCCAUUACUAUGGAACUCAUUUGGUACAGUUGCUGCGCUCUUACAGGAGAUAGUUUCCAUCUACCCUGUUUUAUCACCGCCAAACUUGACUCCAGCACAAUCGAACAGAGUUUGCAAUGCUUUAGCACUUCUUCAGUGUGUAGCCUCUCACCCUGACACGAGAAUGUUGUUUCUCAAUGCACAUAUUCCGUUGUACUUGUACCCUUUUCUGAAUACAACAAGCAAAUCAAGACCUUUUGAAUAUCUGAGGCUUACUAGCUUAGGUGUCAUUGGUGCCCUUGUGAAGGUUGAUGAUACUGAAGUUAUCAGUUUUCUACUAUCAACUGAAAUAAUUCCCCUGUGCCUGCGCACAAUGGAGAUGGGCAGUGAACUGUCAAAAACGGUUGCAACUUUCAUUGUGCAAAAAAUACUUCUAGAUGAUGUUGGUUUGGAUUACAUAUGUACCACAGCAGAAAGAUUUUUUGCAGUUGGGCGAGUAUUGGGGAAUAUGGUUGGCGCACUUGCUGAACAGCCUUCGUCAAGGUUACUGAAGCACAUAAUUAGGUGCUAUCUUCGCUUGUCGGACAAUCCAAGGGCAUGUGAUGCACUAAGAAAUGGUCUCCCUGAUAUGCUUAGAGACAACACCUUCAGUACCUGUCUUCGUGACGACCCUACAACUAGGAGGUGGCUACAACAAUUGAUCAACAAUGUUAAUGGUGCCCGUGUUGCUCUACAGGCAGGUGGAUUUGAUCAUAUGCUGAUGAACUAAGUGGAGACAAUAAUUUAAUCUUUACUUUCGUUGUCCCGGAAUUGAUUAACAAUGUUCAGUUAAGAAUUCACUCUCUGAAAACUGUAGUGUGGUAGAAUCUGUUUUGGAUAUUUGUAGUGUAAUUUGAGGAUGCUCAACUUUGCAUCUUCAUUGGAGCAAAGAUUCGUAUAAUUUAUCGGUAAGUCUGC